ACCUGAACUGAGAGUGAAUCCACAGCAAAUCACUGAGACAGACUUGGUUACGUUGAACUGUGGGACUCCAUCAAAUGUUUCUGUGGAUAAAUGUUUUUUAUACUUCAUAACAUCAAAGACAGACAGAAGCAUCUCUUGUAAGAUAACAAUGACAGGACGUGAGCUCCUGAUGUCACCACAUCAAACUUCACCUGCUGAGGUUGAACUAACAUGUUAUUACACCGUGAAGAGUACAAGUGGAGGACAGCAUCAGUCUCCACACAGUAACUUAUUCUCAGUCACCAUCCACAAUGUUGAGGAAACAGAUUCUACCACCUCUCAGAAAGUAUCAACGUUCAGUGUGACUGCUGGUAGUAUGUGCCUUUUAUAGCCCGUCCUGAACAUCAUUGCUCAUCUAUGACCAUGUUAACUAUGUAACUUGUUAUUUUUUACCAUCAGCUCAAAAAUUUGGUACAACAAUGGAAACAGAUGGGUCAUUUUCUCCUUCCUUGGCAUCAGUCAAACCUACAUUAGGUGGUACAACAGCAGCAGAACCGAAAAAGAAAGCCUGGGUGGCUCUGUACAUAGGUCCACCUGGUUUUGGAGUAGGUGUGGGUGUGAUUUUAAUCAUAGUGGGACUUCUCUGUUCCAGAAGGAGAAGUG